GGGAUGGGUUGGAAGGGUCCUUAAAGGUCAUAGGAGUGGUCAGGAGGGUCCUUAAAGGUCAUAGGAGUGGUCAGGAGGGUCCUUAAAGGUCAUAGAAGGAGUUGGGUUGGGAUGGAAGGGGACUUAGAGGUCAUAGAUGUGGUCAGGAGGGUCCUUAAAGGUCAUGGAAGGAGUUGGGUUGGGAUGGAAGGGUCCUUAAAGGUCAUAGGAGUGGUCAGGAGGGUCCUUAAAGGUCACAGAAUUGGUCAGGAGGGUCCUUAAAGGUCAUAGAAGGAGUUGGGUUGGGUUGGAAGGGUCCUUAAAGGUCACUGAAUUGGUUAGGAGGGUCCCUUAAAGGUCAUAGAAGGAGUUGGGUUGAGUCAGAAGGGUCCCUAAAAGUCAUAGAAGGAGUUGGGUUGGGUUGGAAGGGUCCUUAAAGGUCAUAGAAUUGGUCAGGAGGGUCCUUAAAGGUCAUAGAAGGAGUUGGGUUGAGUCAGAAGGGUCCCUAAAAGUCAUAGAAGGAGGUUGGGCUGGUUGGAAGGGGACUUAGAGGUCAUAGAAUUGGUCAGGAGGGUCCUUAAAGGUCAUAGAAGGAAUUGGGUUGGGGUUGGAAGGGUCCUUAAAGAUUAAAGGAUCAUAGAAUGGGUUGGAAGGGUCCUUAAAGAUCAACGAAUCACAGAACAGCUUGGAAGGGUCCUUAAAGACUACAGAACCAUAGAAGGGGCUGGAAGGGUCCUUAAAGAUCAAAGGAUCAUGGAAUGGGUUGGAAAGGUCCUUAAAGAUGAAUGAAUCAUAGAAUGGGUUGGAAGGGGUCCUUAAAGAUCAACGAAUCAUAGAACAGGUUGGAAAGGUCCUUAAAGAUCAACGAAUCACAGAAUGGCUUGGAAGGGUCUUUAAAGACUAAAGUAUCAUAGAACGGGUUGGAAAGGUCCUUAAAGAUCAAAGGAUCAUGGAAUGGGUUGGAAGGGUCCUUAAAGAUCAACAAAUCAUAGAACAGCUUGGAAGGGUCCUUAAAGACUACAGAACCAUAGAAGGGGCUGGAAGGGUCCUUACAGAUCAAAGGAUCAUGGAAUGGGUUGGAAAGGUCCUUAAAGAUGAAUGAAUCAUAGAACGGGUUGGAAGGGUCCUUAAAGAUCAACGAAUCUUAGAACUGCUUGGAAGGGUCCUUAAAGAUGAAUAUACUGGAAGGCACGAGGCCCUCAGACAACAAUCAGAGCCACAACGAGAGCCAGAAAGCAACAAGAGGAAAGG